AGUGAACGCUGGCGGUAGGCCUAACACAUGCAAGUCGAACGGCAGCACAGUAAGAGCUUGCUCUUACGGGUGGCGAGUGGCGGACGGGUGAGGAAUACAUCGGAAUCUACUUUUUCGUGGGGGAUAACGUAGGGAAACUUACGCUAAUACCGCAUACGACCUACGGGUGAAAGCAGGGGAUCUUCGGACCUUGCGCGAUUGAAUGAGCCGAUGUCGGAUUAGCUAGUUGGCGGGGUAAAGGCCCACCAAGGCGACGAUCCGUAGCUGGUCUGAGAGGAUGAUCAGCCACACUGGAACUGAGACACGGUCCAGACUCCUACGGGAGGCAGCAGUGGGGAAUAUUAGGCAAUGGGCGAAAGCCUGAUCCAGCCAUACCGCGUGAGUGAUGAAGGCCUUCGGGUUGUAAAGCCCUGUUGUUGGGAAAGAAAAACAGCAGGUUAAUACCCCGCUGUUCUGACGGUACCCAAAGAAUAAGCACCGGCUAACUUCGUG
rnacentral:rRNA from 1 species